CUGACAUCAGCCAAGCAGGACACAGGUGCAAGGCAGAGGCAACCUCAGAACAAACCCCCCUUAUGGCUUAGUGGGAGGCCGUUCCAAAGAGGCUCUUCAAAAAGCCUUGUCUGACCUCAGGCAUACCAGGCUGGGGAACCUGCUGGCAGAGUCCCCAGACACAGAGAGUUUCCAAAACAUCUUGGAGUGUGUCAACUUCUGCCUCAUGUCCAGAGUGUCCCAGGAGGGAGCCAACACCACAAGGAGCAGCCAGAGACCUGUUCUGAUUCACCAUCCCUCUCCCUGAAUUUGAAAUAAGUGACCUCUGACCCCAGAUUCCUGACACCAGUCCUUGAGCAGGCUGGGAUCUGAUAGGCUGUAGGACCUGCAGCUGCUGGGGCUCUGGGUUGGGAGUGCCUUCCUAUGGGGAACAGAGUCAGAGAAGGGAAUUAGGUAGACCUGAGUCAAGUUCAUCUUUUCCAGGGUCAGUGGAGAGCCUGGGACUUUAAGGGGAUCAUGUUCCAACCCAUGCUCCAGCCAGGUUCAUUCCUGGCCUUGGGUUCCUUCUUGUCCUCCUGGGGCAGCUGAGGGCCUUGCCUACAUCCCUUCACUCCAGGAUCCCUUGAAGCCAGAAGGAGCUGAGGGUCUAGCUCUAGCUCCCCUCCCUGCCCCCAGUGUCUCCAGCAGAGGGACUUGGGGGAGGAAGAUUCCUGGUCCAGGGGAGAUUGGGAGUUGACAGAAGAAUGCUGAUGGAGCCCCCUCUUCUUCCCUUCCAUUGGCACUCAGCACAGUUCCUCUCGCUAGAGAACUUGGUGGCUCCAUCAGUGCCCCAGCCGAGGACACUGGCAGCCUGGCCAGGGAGGGGCUUUGCUGGUUCUACAAACUGCUGUUACACCAGCGGUAAAGAAACCCAGUUGAGAAGUGGAGCCCAAUAGAAAAGUGACACUGACAGAAGCCAGGCAACGUGAUCCAUGAAGAAAUGGUCCAGCUCCCAUCUGAGACAGUCCCCCACCGAGUAAUGGGAGCCCUGUUGAAACUCACCAAGUCCUCUGAGACUGGCCCCAGCUGGAGGAUGAAUCUGUCUCUCUUCUUCUCUUCCUACUCCAUUCAGGAUCAAACCUCACUCCCCUCCCACCUUACCCCCGGCACCAAGGAUACUCCACCCACCAUAGGGAGCAUUGCUAUUCGGUGGGGCCAGAGAUGCAACCCAAUGGGAAUGGAAGGAUACAGCCACCAAAGCUAAACAGAGAAAUCUGACGAGAAGCUGCUAAGGAACAUAGGGAGAUGGAGAAAAUAGAGGGAGGCACUCCUCCCACAAUGUGGUGGGGGGUGCCUGGCACUGGUGGUCACUAGAGAGGAAUAUAAGGCCAUCUCAGGGUACCUGUUGCUAUUAAGCCUCAUUCCAGGAGGCAUCUAAGUCUCUCACAUACCCUUGUUCUCUUGAGACAGGAAGACAUCACAGUCACAAUGAUGUGCCAGCUCCACUCCAUCUGAUCCUGUCCCCAGGUGCCUGAGGGUCUGUGCCUUUUAGGGUACCUCUGAUGACAUUUAGAGCCCCCCCCACUCGGCCCCCUGCUCCUCAUUCACUAUUUAUCCACAGAGCAGCUUCAUCUGAAAGACUAAGGGAACCCUCCCCCCGCAUCAGAAUAACCGUUGCCCCAUGGUUAGA